rnacentral:tRNA from 1 species
GGAGAGAUACCCAAGUGGCUGAAGGGGCGGGUUUGCUAAACCUGUAGUAGGAUUAUAUCCUAGCGAGGGUUCAAAUCCCUCUCUCUCCG